CAUAAAAAACAAAACUUCUCUCCUCACUUGCUGUUCUAUUCCACAGUUUGAACUGGUCUUCAUCAUUUCCUCACUUUUCACAGGAAAGGCUAACAAAAUCAGUUGAUAGUUGAUAUCUGAGAGAGAUUUCGAUGGUGUUUCCAGUAGUCGACGCCGAGUACCUUAAGCAGAUCGACAAAGCUUGUCGUGGCCUUCGCGCUUUCAUCGCCUCAUGUUUCGCUUAGCGUGGCACGACGCAGGGACGUACGACGUCAGCACCAAGACCGGUGGACCCAAUGGCUCCAUAAGGAAUGAAGAAGAGUACUCUCAUGGCUCCAAUAACGGCUAGAAAAUCGCUAUUGAUUUUUGCUAUGGCUAUGGCUUCCAGUUCAUUCAUGUUUUGAUAGAGAGAUUUCAUUAUCUGGAAUGCUGAAAUAGUUGUUAAUAUUUCACUCACUAGAAAGGGUUUUUUCCUUGUUUUAAAGAAUCUUAUAAGGUGGAAGCAGGAGUGGCAAGUAUGUCGGUGAGAGGUGUUGACAUAGAGGAAGUGAAGGUUAAACAUCCCAAGAUCACGUAUGCAGACCUAUACCAGCUUGCUGGAGCUGUUGCUGUUGAAGUCACUGGAGAUCCCACAAUUGACUUUGUACUAGGAAGAAAGGAUUCGAACAUUUGUCCCAAGGAAGGCCCACUUCCAAAUGCUAAAAAAGGUGCACCUCAUCUGAGGGACAUCUUCUAUCAAAUGGGUCUAUCUGACAAUGAUAUUGUGGCAUUAUCUGGGGGUCACACUCUGGGAAGGGCUCAUCCAGAGAGAUCUGGUUUUGAUGGCCCUUGGACCAAUGAACCACUGAAGUUCAAUAACUCUUAUUUAUCGGAGCUGCUCAAAGGGGAAUCAGAAGGGCUAUUAAAGCUUCCAACAGACAAGGCUUUGUUGGAUGACCCUGAGUUCAGCCAGUAUGUAUGUAGAGCAAUAUGCAAAGGUAAUACUACAACUGAGUGGUUGCCAUUUGUAUUACCUGUACAAAUUUUAUGAGGCCACUUUGAGACAUUUAUGGAAUGCUUGUGUGCAGAUUUAUCUUGUCACUCUGCAAUGUUGCUGAAUUUAUAAUGUAAUUGCCUGUGUAUUUAAUACGAUUUUAUGUCUGGUUUUUCGUAGACCUUGUUCUUGGUAGAUCAUGAUGUUACUUUUACUGUUUCUGUUUGGGCCACUUGUGCACUGGUGGAAGUGUCAGAAUCUUACCUAGAGCCUACCUGAAAACCUACUUGAAAUAACUAGAUUGAGGUUGAACCAAUAUUUGAGCAGGUAAUUAUUUGUCCUCAUCUAACUGAAUUCAACCUUGCUUCAAGGAGGGUUGUGCUAUUUUAAAGACCUUUUACUUACCAACCUGAACCCGCCCGUGCUUCUUUUAAAUUAGUAAUUUGUUGGGUCUAUAUGAUGUUUCUGUGUGAUCCUAGUCUAAUGUUAGCCAAACUUGGUCAAACACUGGCUAAUGCCUUGCAGGAAUCAUCUCUUUAGGUGAUAUAGACCAAUCUUGGACUGAGACAUUAUGCAAAUAAAUAUCUAUUCUGCUAUGAUUCCUGGACUAGCAAAUACCUAAGUCUAAGGAUGAGGCUGCAUUCUUCAGAGAUUAUGCAGAAUCACAUAAGAAACUUUCAGAACUAGGGUUUACUCCCAGCUUCUCUCUCUCCAAGGUAAUUGUAAAUGACAGCACCAUAUUGGCACAGGGUGCUGUUGGGGUUGCAGUUGCCGCUGCUGUGGUGAUAUUAAGCUACUUUUAUGAGGUCCGCAAACGAAUGAAAUGAAGCUAGAUUACUAUGUCUUUUUACAAUAAAACAUGCAUUAUUCCCUUAUCAAUUAGCAGAACUUGGACCGAUCAUCUGGCUACCCAUGCAAUUGUUUUCUGACCAUGACAUCCCCUCCUACAGGCCGUGUUCAUUGCCAAUCUAGACAUAUUGGUAAUAUUAGUAAAUGAUGAAAAUACAUUCUCCCAUUUUGAACAGUAUUAAACAAGCGUAGGGACAAUGCCCCAGAACCACUUCAAUGCAUGACAUUUCCGUUACAAAGUACAAUUAAGUUGGAGGUUGCUCUGUUUUCAUGUUUUUUUGUUAAUGGCGUUGGUUUUCAACUCUAAUUGAGCCACCUCGUUGAAGCAGGGAGGGACCAAUCACUAAAACAAGAUCUCAACCAGAUAUGCGCUCUGCCCCAGGGAUACUGGUCAUACUGCAAGUCUGCAACCAAAA